ensembl:lncRNA
UAGAAGCCCCCGCCUCCACCAGGCCAGCCGCCGCCCAGAAUACCAUAAAGUUUGCAGGGCUACAGGGUGGAUCGGGUGACCGGCACAAGCAGCUGGAACUGGCUGGAGACAGUGGCCCCGCAUGAGCAGAAAGAGAGCAAGGGUUGGGCAGGAGCACUUUAAAGGGCUGGCUGUUCCCUCCAUCGCCCCAAGACUGACCUCAGGGGUCAGGAGGCCUCUGGCCACGGUUCUAUGCCACAGGUGCUGUGGCACUUCGACUGUGGAAUUUUGUUACAUACGUUGGACGUCAUCCAAUCAGAGCUGCUCCACUGCCCUACGAAUAGGUUAAAAAUACCAAGGCUACCACCACCAACCACAUCAGUAGUUCCAGCAACUAUUUCAAGUGAGCCAAGCACUCAUGAAGGCCGACCAGCUUCGUGGCAGUCCUCAUAGGCUGGGGACUGCCCAUCCUACUCUGGAAACAGCAGCUCAGGCCCCUACUUGGCUCUGCACUUCCUGCUAAGGGUCUUG